GAUUGAAUGGCUCAGUGAGGCGUUCGGACUGGCCCAGGGAGGUCGGCAACGACCACCCAGGGCCGGAAAGUUCGUCAAACUUGGUCAUUUAGAGGAAGUAAAAGUCGUAACAAGGUCUCCGUAGGUGAACCUGCGGAGGGAUCAUU
rnacentral:rRNA from 1 species